AGCGAACGCUGGCGGCAGGCCUAACACAUGCAAGUCGAACGAAGUCUUCGGACUUAGUGGCGGACGGGUGAGUAACACGUGGGAACGUGCCUUUAGGUUCGGAAUAACUCAGGGAAGCUUGUGCUAAUACCGAAUGUGCCCUUCGGGGGAAAGAUUUAUCGCCUUUAGAGCGGCCCGCGUCUGAUUAGCUAGUUGGUGAGGUAAAGGCUCACCAAGGCGACGAUCAGUAGCUGGUCUGAGAGGAUGAUCAGCCGCAUUGGGACUGAGACACGGCCCAAACUCCUACGGGAGGCAGCAGUGGGGAAUCUUGCGCAAUGGGCGAAAGCCUGACGCAGCCAUGCCGCGUGAAUGAUGAAGGUCUUAGGAUUGUAGAAUUCUUUCACCGGGGACGAUAAUGACGGUACCCGGAGAAGAAGCCCCGGCUAACUUCGUGCCAGCCGCCGCAGUAA
rnacentral:rRNA from 1 species